CCCUGGACCUGGUGGGGAUGAUGGAGGGUGCUGCCGAUCGCUGCGUGCCCAUACCAAGAAGCGGCGUGAGCUGAUGUACAUGGGCUCCGUGGGGCUGGGCCCUCGCUGGCUCCGGCGGCAAUCAAAAUCUUCCAUCAAACCGCAAGAAAACGCGACGACGCCAUCUGCGUCAAUGUCGGACGACGGGGC